GGCGAUGUAGCUCAGUUGGCUAGAGCGGCCGGUUCAUACCCGUGCGGUCUAGCGAGAUUACAAAGCCAUCA
rnacentral:tRNA from 1 species